GGAUCAAUAUGUUGGUCGUGCCUUGGUACGUACUAGCUUAUUGAUUUCUCCCUUCUGACGAACCAUGAUGUCAUUAAUUUGGUGUCAUGGGGAAUUAGGACUGUUACUUUGAAAAAAUUAGAGUGUUUAAAGCAGGCUCUCGCUUGAAUAAAUUAGCAUGGAAUAAUGAAAUAGGGAAUUUGAUUCUAUUUUGUUGGUUUCUAGGAUCGACGUA
rnacentral:rRNA from 1 species